rnacentral:tRNA from 1 species
UUAAUAAAAGCCAAAUUAGAGGCAUAUCACUGUUAAUGAUAAAACUGAAUUUUAUUCUUAUUAAG